UUACAGAUACGAUUGAAGUAUUCUAAAGGGUAAGUUUUGAAAGAAAAAUUCAGCCAUACACUUGCACUAACCUAGCCGAAAAUCUAUACUACCUUAAGGGCGAUCCUAGUUGGUCAAACUUGAGGCGGAUCCGGACGUACUGUGGACUAUCUACGGAGGGACGACAUUUGGAGUACUAAAGACUUGUUCUUGUUCGGUUCGGGCGCAGCUAGGGAGGGCACGCUACAAAGUAGGGCGGCAUUGAAGAAAAUCACAGCACACACACUCACCCUUCUCUGUCGUGCCGCCCACCUCUGCCGCGCCGCCGCUGCGCUAUGCUCUUCCUCCUUUCCCCACCGCUGCCGCGCUCUGCUCUCCCCUUAUCACUUCUAGAUCUAGCCUUAGCCUUCGCACCGGUAACAAGAUAUAUUUCUCGAGCUUCUGGACUUGUAAAAUAAGUGUAAAUGCAGUCGUAGUAAAUGCAUACCAAUCUACAAAACAAGGUAAGUGCACCAAUUCCUAUUUGCACCUUUGAAGACCGAAGAGCGUGUAAUGUAUUUGGUUGCCCUGAUCCACUCUAUUGAAGAAUCUUUCAAUAUUGAGAAUGAUCUAGUGAAGAAAGAUAUAUUUCUAAAAGGUGUGGGCAUAAGAUUCAGGGAUUUGAAAUCCAAGUUCGUGAGUGGUUGGAUCACUAAAAAGAGACAAAGAGUUGCAAGAAACAACUAUCAAGGAAAACGAAGAAGAGAAAAAUGAAAGCGAAAAGAAGCAAGCAAAUAGAUCAAGACUAUGGGAAAUCAGUGAAGUGUGCACAACAAACCGACAAUACCAAGUGAGGCUUCUACGUGAUGAAGUUCAUGCACGAUAUAGUCACAAGUUGUACGGAAGUCGAAGAUCUUGAAAAGGUAUUCAACAAUCCGAGGGAGAGACCUUUUACCAUUGAGUAGAUAAAUGAAGUUCGAGAGAAGUUGGCAAACUUCAAUACUAUUUAUUGUCUUUGAUAUUAUCUUGUAGUGAAUUUUAGAUUAUGGAUGUUAGUUUUAAUUGGAUUGUAAUGUAAUC